rnacentral:rRNA from 1 species
UACGGGGGGGGCAAGCGUUGUUCGGAAUUACUGGGCGUAAAGGGCUCGUAGGCGGCCAACUAAGUCAGACGUGAAAUCCCUCGGCUUAACCGGGGAACUGCGUCUGAUACUGGAUGGCUAGAGUUCGGGAGAGGGAUGCGGAAUUCCAGGUGUAGCGGUGAAAUGCGUAGAUAUCUGGAGGAACACCGGUGGCGAAGGCGGCAUCCUGGACCGACACUGACGCUGAGGAGCGAAAGCCAGGGGAGCAAACGGG